rnacentral:rRNA from 1 species
GGCUUAUUGAUAAUAAUUUUAGGUCUAACCUGCCCCCUGAGGAGUUAAAUGGCCGCGGUAUUUUGACCGUGCAAAGGUAGCAUAAUCAUUAGUUUUUUAAUUGAAAGCUGGAAUGAAGGGUUUGAUGAAAAAAGUUCUGUCUCUGUGAAAAUUUAUUAGAAUUUUAUUUUUAAGUAAAAAAGCUUAAAUAUAUAUAGAAGACGAGAAGACCCUAUAGAGUUUUAUAUAAGCUUGAGAGAUUAGGCUUUAAGAAUGUUGAAGUUUGUUUGUUAAAUUUAUAUUUGGUUGGGGUGAUAAAAAAAUUAAAAAAACUUUUUUUGUAUUUUAACAUUAAUUUAUGAGUAUUUGAUCCUGUAGUUUAGAUUAAAAGAUUAAAUUACCUUAGGGAUAACAGCGUAAUUUUUUUUAGAGUUCUUAUCGAAAGAAAAGAUUGCGACCUCGAUGUUGGAUUAAAAUUAAUUGUUGGUGUAGGAGCUAAUAUAUUAGGUCUGUUCGACCUUUGAAAUUUUACAUGAUCUGAGUUUAAACCGGUGUGAG